GCUGGGUGCAGUGGUGCACACUGUAGUCCAGCUACUCGGGAGGCAAGGUGGGAGGAUGGCUUGAGCCCAGAAGUUUGGGGCUAUAAUGCGCUGUGCCAGUCGGGUGUCUGCACUAAGUUUAGCCCCCAAAUAAUGACCUCUCAGGAGUGCAGAACCCUCAGGUUGCCUAAGGAGGGAUGAACCUGCCCAGGUUGGAAACAGAGAAGGCAAAAUUCCCAUGCUGAUCAGCAGUGGGAUGGUUCCUGUGAACAGCCACUGCACUCCAGCCUGGACAAUACAGUGAGAACCUGUCUCU
ensembl:misc_RNA Metazoa_SRP Metazoan signal recognition particle RNA